rnacentral:rRNA from 1 species
ACGCUCGACACCUACGGAAGGCAGCAGUGGGGAAUAUUGCACAAUGGGGGAAACCCUGAUGCAGCGACGCCGCGUGGAGGAAGAAGGUCUUCGGAUUGUAAACUCCUGUUGUUGGGGAAAAAGAGGAUGGUACCCAACAAGGAAGUGACGGCUAACUACGUGCCAGUANCCGCGGUAAUCUGAGCGGGCUGGCAAGGC